GUUGUUUUUACAGGUGAAACACAAUCGCCUCGUACAGGAGAUGAACCAUCCAACAGCAGGACGCAUCGCUGUAGUCGGUCCGGCGGUUCGUUUCAGCAGCUUCUCUCCAAGCGGCCCGACACCCCCUCCUCUGAUUGGCCAGCACACCGUAGAGGUGCUGCGAGACGUCUUAUCGUACAGCAAAGAAGUUAUAGAAACCCUGCUGGAGUCAAAAGCAGUGGUUCAGAAUGAAGUCUUCUGAUUGGCCAAAAGAAAAAUAAUUAACGAGAGAAAGGAAAAGACAACAACUGAUCAUUUUUAACUGAUCACUAGUUUUGAUUUUAAAAGACUGAUAAUUAAACAAUUAGAUUUCAGCUGAAAA